UACGGAGGAUGCGAGCGUUAUCCGGAUUUAUUGGGUUUAAAGGGUGCGUAGGCUGGUAAUUAAGUCAGUGGUGAAAUACUCCGGCUCAACCGGGGGGCUGCCGUUGAUACUGGUUACCUUGAGUUUAGAUGAUGUGGGCGGAAUGUGUCAUGUAGCGGUGAAAUGCUUAGAUAUUACACAGAACACCGAUUGCGAAGGCAGCUUACUAACCCAUCAUUGACGCUGAGGCACGAAAGCGUGGGGAUCAAACAGGAUUAGAUACCCGGGUAGU
rnacentral:rRNA from 1 species